rnacentral:rRNA from 1 species
CAGCCGCCACGGGAAUACGAAGGGGGCUAGUGUUGUUCGGAAUUACUGGGCGUAAAGCGCACGUAGGCGGAUCGAUCAGUCAGGGGUGAAAUCCCAGGGCUCAACCCUGGAACUGCCUUUGAUACUGUCGAUCUGGAGUAUGGAAGAGGUGAGUGGAAUUCCGAGUGUAGAGGUGAAAUUCGUAGAUAUUCGGAAGAACACCAGUGGCGAAGGCGACUGACUGGACAAGUAUUGACGCUGAGGUGCGAAAGCGUGGGGAGCAAACAGGAUUAGAUACCCCGGUAGUCCCUGUCUCUUAUAA